rnacentral:lncRNA from 1 species
AAUCGGCUCGGCUGGCUUCUGGACUCGGCUUAUAUGGCUCAGAUCGGCUCUGCUCAGCCGAAUUUACGGUUGAUUAGAGAGAAAACGAUUGGGAUGGGAUUGGAGGAAGGGGGAAGAGAAGGUUGUCGGUGGUGGUAAGGAAUGGGGGAAGGAAGGGUGCUGGUGGUGGUGAGGGAGAAGAGGGAGAGAAAGAAGAGAUGGUGUUGGCGGUGGUGAGGGAGAUGGGGAAAAGAAGGGUGUUGGUUGUCGGUGGUGGUAGGGAAUGGGGAAAGGAAGGGUGCUGGUGGUGGUGAGGGAGAAGAAGGAGAGAAAGAAGAUAUGGUGUUGGAAGGAGAAGAAGGUUGCUGGUGGUGGUGGCUGGUCAUGAAGGAGAUGACCAUGUGGCGGCGGCGGUCAUCGGG